AGAGUUUGAUCCUGGCUCAGGAUGAACGCUGGCGGCGUGCCUAAUACAUGCAAGUCGAGCGAACCACUUCGGUGGGAAGCGGCGAACGGGUGAGUAACACGUAGGUAAUCUGCCCAUCAGACGGGGACAACGAUUGGAAACGAUCGCUAAUACCGGAUAGGACGAAAGUUUAAAGAUGCUCCUGGCAUCACUGAUGGAUGAGCCUGCGGCGCAUUAGCUAGUUGGUGGGGUAAAGGCCUACCAAGGCGACGAUGCGUAGCCGACCUGAGAGGGUGAACGGCCACACUGGGACUGAGACACGGCCCAGACUCCUACGGGAGGCAGCAGUAGGGAAUCUUCGGCAAUGGGCGAAAGCCUGACCGAGCAACGCCGCGUGAAUGAAGAAGGCCUUCGGGUUGUAAAAUUCUGUUAUAAGGGAAGAAAGGUGAUGGGAGGAAAUGACUAUCAAUUGACGGUACCUUAUGAGAAAGCCACGGCUAACUACGUG
rnacentral:rRNA from 1 species